rnacentral:rRNA from 1 species
AUUGAACGCUGGCGGCAUGCCUUACACAUGCAAGUCGAACGGUAACAGGCCGCAAGGUGCUGACGAGUGGCGAACGGGUGAGUAAUACAUCGGAACGUGCCCGAGAGUGGGGGAUAACGGAGCGAAAGCUUUGCUAAUACCGCAUACGAUCUACGGAUGAAAGCGGGGGACUCGCAAGAGCCUCGCGCGAUUGGAGCGGCCGAUAUCAGAUUAGGUAGUUGGUGGGGUAAAGGCUCACCAAGCCAACGAUCUGUAGCUGGUCUGAGAGGACGACCAGCCACACUGGAACUGAGACACGGUCCAGACUCCUACGGGAGGCAGCAGUGGGGAAUUUUGGACAAUGGACGCAAGUCUGAUCCAGCCAUUCCGCGUGCAGGAUGAAGGCCCUCGGGUUGUAAACUGCUUUUGUACGGAACGAAAAGGUCUCUAUUAAUACUAGGGGCUCAUGACGGUACCGUAAGAAUAAGCACCGGCUAACUACGUGCCAGCAGCC